UCCACUACUUGAUUUUGAGACAGAUAUACUAGAAACCUAGUAUUGUUAGGUAAUCAUGCUGUGAGACCUCUAAGAUGUGCCCUUUAGCUCUGUGUAUUGGGCCUGCCUACAUGGCUGAAUGAAGCAGAUUAUGCUUGCAUAGCUAUACCGGCUAUUAACUUGACACAUGGCAGAAUGCAGUAAAAGACACAAAAUUGAGACUUGUUGCAAGAGAAAACCAGUUCUAGUUUGCCCACAGGUUAAAUAAGUCAUGCCAAACGUUAGAGACAAUCCAAAAGGUUUGAAGAGCCUUAUUCUGGCCAUUAAUACACUAUAUUUAAGCUAAAAGUACUGGGAGUCAGUGAGCUUGCAUUUGGUCUAAAGUUAGUAACAGUAGCUUUGCAGAGUUACUCUAGGUUCAGCUCUCAGCCCUGAAGCUAGGGCAGCAUAAAACUGUUUCAUUUUCAAAUGAAAGUAAACAUUGAAUUAGAUCUUGGACAACAGUAUUAAGUUUUGCUAGCUCAGGAUUUUGCAGAUGAGUUGUUCUGCAACCCAUGGCUGCAGCUCUAUCACAAGAAUGCAAGAUUUAAAUGGGAAGUAACCAGUAAUACGAUAAGCAAUUUAAGACUUGCAGCAACAGUUUUUGCUCUUCAAGCAAAAAGAGUUAAGGUUGAAUUGUUACUAUAAAGUAUAAUUUGCUCCAGCUGUACCUUAAAAAUAAAUGAAGAUGGAUCGCUUUGCCACAUACUGCUAAUUGAGGCCAUGUAAUAUAAGCUUUGCAUUCUUGCAAUUGUCAUGUUGUGUUAAACUGCCAGGGUGGGACUGACAAAAGCAAACAAGUAACUUCUAAACUUCUACAGUUCACUGUUAACUAUCAUCAUGUGGACUGUUAACUAUAAUCAUGUUGUACUCCUUUCCAAGCUACAGGGCUUUAUAAAGUGUGCUCUUUUCCACCCAGCCAUUUUUAACACCAUCAACAAAGUAGUUUCCUCCUAAGAAUUUCAAGAGUAGAUUUGCACUUUUAAAUUUAUUUUAACAACUGUGUUUUCUUUUCUUUACAGAAGUUAACUAGGUUAGAUCGGGAUUGAGAGUGAUGGUUCUGGACACUUAAAGGCUUACUAUCAAGUCUCGUAGUAAAAUUAAAAUAGUGACUGCACUACUUUCAGAGAGAUUGUCAAGACAGUCAUCAUCAAGAUCAUUUUAACUUAAUACCAUCUUAUCAGUUGAUGACAGAAAGUCAUAUUUCAUAAUUGUCUAUAAGCUCUGCAGACCUGGUUUGCAAGCUCUACAGACCAGCUACAAAACCUUCUAUUUUGCUUAGCAGCAAAACCAACUAGUCCCAAGGGAUUUAGAUUAUAGUGGUCAAUUACAAAGUUCAAAAAAGCUUCUAUAAUGCCAGGAAUAAAGAUUUUUUUUUUUCCCCCCAAUUCACUUUAGCUACCGAUUUGAAAUAGUUCAUAUAAUUCAACAAAUCUACAGAACAAUUUUGCGUUUCUUUGAAGCUUUACAAACAGCAAGUGUGUAGCAUUUUAAGCGGUGUGAACAUCCUCCUAAUAGGGCUGCAUUUUUCAUUACUUAAUUUGCACGUUACUCCUCAAUUACUCAAUACACAGAAGUCUGCCACUCUGUGCUGACAGACAGCUCACUAAAAAUCCAGUGUAGACACUUGUGCUCAUGUUGGUGGUUUUUUUUUUUUCUUUCCCAGAAGUGUAACACUAAUUCUUAAAGUGACCUUGCCACUGAAAGACUAGUCUUUUUGAUUAAACUGUUACAGGUAUACAUCUACCACACCUUGUCAUCCUACUGAAACUAUUUGCACACAAAGGUCUUAAAGAAAUAAUGCCAAUUUAAUGGAGUAAAGGCUAAGCAGCCCCCUAUUACAUCCCAACUGCAGCAGGAAACUUUAUGACUGCUUGACAGGAGGAGGAUAUGGGCAACUUGGAGACCAUCUAAGUCAGUACAGCUUUCCAACGCUCUGAAUAAGCUAUGUCCUAUUUCAUACCUUCUCUAAAACACAUGCAGACAUGUUACGUGUGAGCCCAUACCACACAAUAGGCAAGACCAGUUGCUGCUUAACAUUGAAGUUACAUCUGCAAGAGACCGGUCCAUUCUACCUAAGCCACAAGUAUUGCAGUUACGUGGGUUCUCCCUUCCCAUCUCUCCCCCUUCUCCAUAAACAUUUCCUCCACAGUAGGUCAUGUUCACACAGCAGUCACUGUCACUGCCUAAAACAUACCGAACUAUUAGUAACAGUGUGGCUGCAACAACACAGAGAACGUGAGACAGUUGCACAGCUUCAUAAUUGAUUUAUUCAGAUAAAACCGAGCUACCUCAGAGACAUCUUUGGCUGCCGAGUUCACAGGCUGCGGUGUCUGUAUACCUCGUACUAGCCCCUGCGCGCCUGAGAGCAUCCUGGGAUACUCGGCCAGUGGCAAUUUCAUCUGACACGUGCAGGAGGGGACUGGAGUGCUUUCCCCAGAACAAUUCCCCCGGCCGCAUUUUCCCAGGCAUAGCCGGAGUUCACAAGUGUUAGCCUGUUCUCCUGUUCUCCGAGUUAAGUACUAAUACAUCCGACUUCUUUUUUUUGAGUAUAGGAUUCUUAAAGAGACAGGAGCAUCUAAUUAAGACGUGCAUCGGGAGGCAGACUUCCUACAGCCUUCCAGAUCUCAAAGCGAAACCGACUCCGUGCACGGCUUCAGGAUGAACCUUUUACUACGUCUGUCAACAAGAGCUGAUCACAAAUUAUUGUCACAACGGAUACCAAGGCAGGACAGUCGAUACACGCCGAGAGCCUGGCGCCGGUGCAUAGGGCUAGCCGGGCCGGACGCGGGAGCUUUCCGCACGUGCACAGGUGCUGAAGCAUAGUCUGGCAGUUGAAGGAGCAUCACAGAUUGGAGUCCUGUGGGAUAUGAGGCCAGACACAAAGGACAAGCUCUGACUCGCAGCAUGGGCACAGAUAAGUCCUGGGGCUGCAUUGUAGAUGAGGGAGGCUGGGUGGGUGGAAGGUGGUUGUGCCCCAAUUGGGGAUGAGACAGACUUGCAGUCUGGGUACUGCUGGGUGGAGGGAGCUGGAAGUUGUGUCUGGGAGACUGAAGUUUGGGCAUUUGGCGAGUAAUGUGCAAGCCUGGCAAUGGGAAUUUGCUUGAUAUGCCAAGUGGUUAGGUACCUUGGACUACAAAUGUUCAUCAUGUGAGCAAUAAGCUAAAAAACCCCAGUCUGUUUUAAAUAAUAAAAAGUAUUUUCCCAGCUGCCUUGUUUUACCCUUGUUCUGGCAACUCUUUGAGGCAUUUUCUGGGAUUUACCAGUCAGAGGAAAAGGCUUUUGCAGUGGUGUUAGUGAGUGCAGGAAUGGUGUUACCAGUUGUCACAAACACUUCUCUCUCUCAACAGGUACCACUUCCCUUAAGGAGAGGCUGGUUUGUGGUUACAGGUGUCACUGGCUCUGGAUGUUGGCCCACAGAGCUGAGAGGACCACAAAUAUUAUUUGUCUGUAAUGAAGAUUGAGUGCUUGUGUUAUGGGGAUGCUUGGUGGCUCCUCAUCAAAACAGUGAGCUGGAUGUCAACUGCCACCAUUUCACUGUGGCUGUACUUUCUUCUGCCACAAAAAGUAAAAGACGGAAAGGAUCCGUAGUGGUCUGCAAGUACAAGGUACAUCUAUGAUGUAGGUCUGCAUUUUUC